AUUGCCUUAGAUAGCGGCGAGUGAGCGGCAAAAGCUCAAAUUUGAAAUCUGGCACCUUCGGUGUCCGAGUUGUAAUUUGAAGAUUGUAACCUUGGGGUUGGCUCUUGUCUAUGUUUCUUGGAACAGGACGUCACAGAGGGUGAGAAUCCCGUGCGAUGAGAUGCCCAAUCCUAUGUAAGGUGCUUUCGAAGAGUCGAGUUGUUUGGGAAUGCAGCUCUAAGUGGGUGGUAAAUUCCAUCUAAAGCUAAAUAUUGGCGAGAGACCGAUAGCGAACAAGUACAGUGAUGGAAAGAUGAAAAGAACUUUGAAAAGAGAGUGAAAAAGUACGUGAAAUUGUUGAAAGGGAAGGGUUUGAGAUCAGACUCGAUAUUUUGUGAGCCUUGCCUUCGUGGCGGGGUGACCCGCAGCUUAUCGGGCCAGCAUCGGUUUGGGCGGUAGGAUAAUGGCGUAGGAAUGUGACUUUGCUUCGGUGAAGUGUUAUAGCCUGCGUUGAUGCUGCCUGCCUAGACCGAGGACUGCGAUUUUAUCAAGGAUGCUGGCAUAAUGAUCCCAAACCGCCCGUCUUGAACCACGGACCAAA
rnacentral:rRNA from 1 species